GUCUGAGCCCUUGGCAGAGAGAGGCAGAAAGAGCAUAUAGGGUUGAUGUUUCCCUUAUGUACAAUGGGAUUUACUGUUGCUCAUUUCCUCCAUUCAUUCAUUUGUUCAUCCAUUCAUUCAUUCCACUAAGAUCUACUGAGCACCUGCACUGGGCAAUCCUCUCUGGAGUGACUGAUCUAGAGAUGAGUGCAUGACCUGAUUCUCCCAAUGAGAAGCAAGGAGAGGUCUCAGAAGCAGGCCUAAAGGUUGCUCCUUAUUCCUAAUGGAUGGGGCCUGCAGAUCCUGUGUUCUACAUCUGUGGAUCCAUCAAGAUUGUUUAGCAGGAAUUAAAAAUAAUAAGGCCCUGGCCCAGAGGGGGAUGCUGCGGCUACUACGAGUCAGCUCAGUGGACCCCGUGUGGAAUGCUUGUGCCAUUGCUGGGGAGAGGUGGCUGUCUCCCAGUGGUGUCCACCAUCAACCAGUGUGGCUGGCGGAGGUAAGGAAACCCCUCCAUGGUGCCGAAGACGUUCCCAUGACAUGACAAGUAUAUAGAAACAGCUCCCUCUGAACCCAAGAUUGCCUGCAA
rnacentral:lncRNA from 10 species